UCCAAUCAUAGCUAAUAUGGAAAUGUGUUUUACAUGACUUGACAUACAUAAUUGAUAUCAUAUUGCUUGUCUUCUUAAUGGAUGGGGAAGAAUGUGAAGGAAGAAAAGAAUUUGAGAAAAAAAUAAUGAAUGUAAUUUAAAAAAGAAAGAAAGAAAAAGAAAAGUGAAAUGAUACCCCCAGCUAUAAAGAGAAAUACCCCAUGAAUGUUCCAGCUAUGAUGGAGAGAGUUCAAAAGUUUACCUCCAAGCAAAUCAAUUUCCAUGGUUGGAAAGAACGUCUUAGAAUUGGAGGACAUUCCAACUUCAUACCAGAAACCUGAAAACUGAAAGGAAUCACUCAUGUGGAAGAAGCCUAUUUGUUUAACCUGGAAAAUUCAGGGAAGACAACUCUGCAGUUCACAGGGACUUGAACAAAGGAAAGAAAGGGAAAGGAAAGGGAUUUACAAGUUGUUACAAAGAUCGACAUAGCACAACAUAGCAAACUCAAAAC
rnacentral:lncRNA from 1 species